AGUUGUUGUUUUAAAGAUGCUUAUCUUUUAGAACUUUGAAUGUGUUGUGAUUUUAAGAUGUUUAGAACUUUAAUGUUUUGUGAUUUUUAGAACUCAUGUUUUGUAAUAUGUAUGAGACUUCAAGUAACAAGUAGCUUGCAAGUAACAAGCCAACAGGCCGGGUCAAGUUACUUGCAAGUAACAAAAUUUUGGACGAGAACUAGUUCUAGCAAGUACUUGCUCAAACGAGUCAAGUAUCAAGCUCAAAUGUCAAUUACUCGUAAGAGUCAAGGCGGGUCACAAGUACUUGUAAAAUAGCAAGUACUUGCCUUGUGCCCAGGCCUAGUAG